AUAUGCACAGCAUGAAUUUUCCCCUAUAACGAUUGAUAAACGACACUUAUUUGAGGCGAAAAAUUGAUUAUUUGCUUCAUUAAUCAAUAAAUUUAUCUAAUGCAAUAAAUUACACCAACCACAACAACAAGCGAUAAACAGCCUACAUCUACAAGCUAUCUCAAUUGACAAGUUAAAAACCGAAACGAAACGAGGCGAGUAAUAUUUUUUUACUAUUACCAUGUACGAAGGGACACGAUCGAUGAACGCCUGCAACUCGGUAUUCCCUGAAUGCCUACCAACCAAUCUUCUACCUUCACCAUUGAGUACCAGCGCGGCUAAUUGCUCCAUGUUGCCGGUCUCCAGCAACUUC